rnacentral:rRNA from 1 species
CUGCUGCCUUCCGUAGGAGUUUGGGCCGUGUCUCAGUCCCAAUGUGGCCGGUCACCCUCUCAGGCCGGCUACUGAUCGUCGCCUUGGUGGGCCUCUACCCCGCCAACUAGCUAAUCAGACGCGGGUCCAUCGUAUACCGUUUACGCUUUUCACACUGCCUCCAUGCGAAGCUGUGCGCUUAUGCGGUAUUAGCACCUAUUUCUAAGUGUUACUCCCCCUGUAUACGGCAGGUUACCCACGCGUUACUCCACCCGUCCG